rnacentral:snRNA from 1 species
UUGCUUUAGCAGCUCAUAUACUAAAAUUGGAACAAUACAGAGACGAUUACAAGGAUGAUAUGGAAAUUCGUGUAUUCCAUAUUUUA